AUACGGAGGGUGCAAGCGUUACUCGGAAUCACUGGGCGUAAAGCGCGCGCAGGCGGCUUGAUAAGUUGGAUGUGAAAGCCUACGGCUCAACCGUAGAACUGCAUCCAAAACUGUCAGGCUAGAGUGUGGGAGAGGAAGAUGGAAUUAGUUGUGUAGGGGUAAAAUCCGUAGAGAUAACUAGGAAUACCAAAAGCGAAGGCAAUCUUCUGGAACACUUCUGACGCUGAGGCGCGAAGGCGUGGGGAGCAAACAGGAUUAGAUACCCCGGUAGUCC
rnacentral:rRNA from 1 species